GUCCACGCAGUAAACGAUGAUGACUAACUGCCGGCGAUAGACAGUCGGUGGCCAAGCGAAAGCGAUAAGUCAUCCACCUGGGGAGUACGACCGCAAGGUUGAAACUCAAAGGAAUUGACGGGGGCCCGCACAAGCGGAGGAACAUGUGGUUUAAUUCGAUGAUACGCGAGGAACCUUACCCGGGCUCGAACGGUACGGUGAAUGAUGUAGAGAUAUGUCAGACCGCAAGGACACUGUAUCGAGGUGCUGCAUGGUUGUCGU
rnacentral:rRNA from 1 species